GAUGAAGAACGUAGCGAAAUGCGAUAAGUAAUGUGAAUUGCAGAAUUCCGUGAAUCAUCGAAUCUUUGAACGCACAUUGCGCCCCCUGGUAUUCCGGGGGGCACGCCUGUCCGAGCGUCAUUGCAACCUUCAAGCGCGGCUUGUGUGUUGGGUCUCGUCCCCCGUGGACGGGCCCGAAAGGCAGUGGCGGCGUCCCGACAUGGUGCCCGAGCGUAUGGGAAUCCUCUUCCGCUCGAAUCGGCCCAUGCGGCGCUGGUCGUAACCAAAUUUUUUACCGGUUGACCUCGGAUCAGGUAGGGAUACCCGCUGAACUUAAGCAUAUCAAUAAGCGGAGGA
rnacentral:misc_RNA from 1 species